rnacentral:rRNA from 1 species
UGGGGGAUAUUGCACAAUGGGCGAAAGCCUGAUGCAGCGACGCCGCGUGGGGGAUGAAGGCCUUCGGGUUGUAAACUUCUUUUGCUCUGAACAAGGCGCACCAUGGGGUGUGUUGAGUGUAGGGGUUGAUUAGCGCCGGCUAACUACGUGCCAGCAGCCGCGGUAAUACGUAGGGCGCGAGCGUUGUCCGGAAUUAUUGGGCGUAAAGGGCUUGUAGGUGGCUGGUUGCGUCUGUCGUGAAAGCUCAUGGCUUAACUGUGGGUUUGCGGGGGGUACGGGCUGGCUUGAGUGCAGUAGGGGAGGCUGGAAUUCCUGGUGUAGCGGUGGAAUGCGCAGAUAGCAGGAGGAAUACCGGUGGCGAAGGCGGGUCUCUGGGCUGUUACUGACACUGAGGAGCGAAAGCAUGGGGAGCGAACAGG